rnacentral:rRNA from 1 species
GAUGAACGCUAGCGGCAGGCUUAAUACAUGCAAGUCGAGGGGCAUCAAGGUACACGAAAGUGUAUUGUUGGCGACCGGCGGACGGGUGAGUAAUAGGUAGGUAACCUACCUCAUACUGAGGCAUAGCUGGGAGAAAUUCCAGGUAAUUCCUCAUGAGGUUAUAUGACACAUGUGAUAUAAUCAAAGGUAUCGCAAGGUACUGGUAUGAGAUGGGCUUACUGACCAUUAGCUAGUUGGUGAGAUAAGAGCUCACCAAGGCGAAGAUGGUUAGGGGUUUUGAGAGAGAGAUCCCCCACAUUGGAACUGAGAUACGGUCCAGACUCCUACGGGAGGCAGCAGUAGGGAAUAUUGGGCAAUGGGCGGAAGCCUGACCCAGCCAUGCCGCGUGAAGGAAGACGGGCCUUAUGGGUUGUAAACUUCUUUACUAUGCGACUAACUAGAUUUACGAGAUAAUUCUAUAGAAUGUAGCAUAGCAAAAAGCACC